rnacentral:rRNA from 1 species
UGGGGAAUAUUGCACAAUGGGCGCAAGCCUGAUGCAGCAACGCCGCGUGCGGGAUGACGGCCUUCGGGUUGUAAACCGCUUUCAGCAGGGACGAAGGAUUUUUUUGACGGUACCUGCAGAAGAAGCACCGGCUAACUACGUGCCAGCAGCCGCGGUGAUACGUAGGGUGCGAGCGUUGUCCGGAAUUAUUGGGCGUAAAGAGCUUGUAGGCGGUUUGUUGCGUCGGAAGUGAAAUCGCAGGGCUUAACUCUGAGCUUGCUUUCGAUACGGGCAGACUAGAGGAAGGUAGGGGAGAAUGGAAUUCCUGGUGGAGCGGUGGAAUGCGCAGAUAUCAGGAGGAACACCGGUGGCGAAGGCGGUUCUCUGGACCUUUCCUGACGCUGAGAAGCGAAAGCGUGGGGAGCAAACA